UCCUUCCCUUCCUCCUUUAAGUUCCUCUGUAGAAGUAGAAGUAGAAAUAGAAAUAGAAAUAGAAAUAGAAAUAGAAAUAGAAAUAGAAAUAGAAAUAGAAAUAGAAAUUGAAAUUGAAAUUGAAAUGGAAACUCAGCACGAGGCACGGAUCUUCUCCAUCUGCAGAGAAUGAAAGACGUGGGAUAUGGCUCAUCAGCAAUUACUUAUAACAACAUCAUGGUCCUGUACAAGAAAGUAGGUCAACUUGAGAAAAUCCCUGAGAGAAUCUCAGAAAUAAAGAAGAAUGGUGUAGCGAAUAGGCUUGAGUUCUUUUGGUGAGAGAUCUGAUCUCAGUGGCAUGGAGAAGCUUCUGGAUAAGAUGGAGUCACUAAUUGACAUUUUCUUUGAUUGGCGUCCAUAUUCUAUGGCUGCAUUUCAGUUCAUAAAAGCAGACAAGAAGGUGAGAGCGCUUGCUUAAAUGAAGAAGGUGGAACAGAAGCUUGACAAAGAUGCUGUCACUUGAUAUGCCCAUCUAGGGCAAAAAGAUGAAAUGAUGAGGUUGUGGGCUUUACAGAAAUUUGCUACAUCACCAAGUUGGGUUCUCUGGUAAAGCUUAGAGAGCUUGAAGAAGCCAAGGCUAUGCUAGAAGACUAGAAUUCUACUUGCCACACUUACGACUUCAGAGUGCCGAACAUACUCCUGAUCAGCUACUUUCAAAAGGGUCUCCCCGAUAAAUCCGAGGCACUGCUUCGAGAUAUUAUCAAAAGGAGAGAAAUACCGACUUUCCUUCACAAGGACCAUUGAAGUUCCACAGCCUCUUCUUCUCAUCCGAUGUUCAGUUCUUCUUUCAAAAAGUGCUUCUGGAGCACUCUUAUCAGCCGCAUGACACGAUUCUUGAGAACCAGAAGCCAAAAAGAGUUGUGAAGCAGUUGAUCAUGCUAAGAGAUUGAAGGAGGAUUUAAUGCUUUUGCUGAGAGGGUUAUCAUGUUGUCCAUGUGGAUUCUUUGUGGUUUAUGGACAUGGCGCUGGUUGCAUUACCUGAGAAUAGAGAGAAUGGCAGGCCCUGUAUUGCUUUCUGUCAAUCCAUUUAAAAAUGUCCGGUUAUAUGGGGAUGAUGCAGCAUACCAUGCAAUGGUAGCAGAGCUGAAGUGGAUCAGAUCGGAUAUGACAUUAUGCAACAGAGAUGUGGGUGUGCCUGCAUUUGGAAGUACCACUACCUGACAUCACAUGAUAUCUCAUCUUCUUAUGAGAGCUUGCUAUGGGGAAUGCGGUUUGAUUUUUCGUCUCCGCAAAAAGGUGUUGAAGAUUUGAGUUUCAACUUUCGACAACCUGACAUCACAUGAUAUCUCAUCUUCUUGUGAGAUAUUGAUUGUAGUCAGCCAACACUAGGGCAGAAAGUGAAAAAAGAAACAUGGAAGGGGUAGAAAAAGAGCAAAUGGACAGAAAAAAGGAAAAAAAAAAAAGAAAAAGAAGAAGAAAAAAAGAGAAAGCAGAUCUGUGGAAAAAAAGGAAAAAAAAUUGGUGUCACAGAUCUAGAAAAAAAAAUAGGUCCAAGAAAAUGUGAAGAAAAAAAUAGCCCGAAUAAGCUGUGGAAUACUACGUUAUCCCCGUGUUUGAACCAUGUGGGGAUGACGUGUUGUCUAAAUAACGAUGAUCAUGAUGAAGAAACUUCCCAAGAGGCAAACAAAAAAGAGCUCAAAAGAAACGGAGAAGUUCAAGAGAGCAAAAAUUCUGACAUUCACCAUGGCGAGACUAGCAGCGAGCAUGGCUUGAAAACUGAAAUGGAGAAGAUGGGAUAGAUAAUGCAUUUAUGAAAGAGAGAUCUGGGCUGUUGGAGGAGGAGAACAAGAAUCUUCAUGAUGAGCUCUUUGGUAAAUCUUGGAGAGCUCGAAGAAGCCCAGGCUGUGGGAGAUGACUAGACUUCUACUUGCCACACAUACGACUUCAGAGUGUCGAACAUACUCCUGUUCAGCUACUAUCAGAAGGGUCUCUCCGAUAUAUUUGAGGCAUUGUUUCUGGAUAUUAUCUAAACGGCAGAAAUACCGACUUCCCUUAACAAAGUCCAUCGAUUUUCCACGGCUUCUUCUUCUCCUAUGAUGUUCAGUCCUUCUUUUGAUAAGUGCUAUUGGAGCACACAUAUCAGCAGCAUGACAUGCUUCUUGAGAACUAGAAGCCAAAAAAGAGUUGUGAAGCAGUUGAUCAUGCUAAGAGAUUGAAGGAGCAUCCAAUGCUUUCGCUUAGUGGGUUUUCAUGUUGACAAUUUGGACUCUUUAUGGUUUAUGGACUUGGUGCUGGUUGCAUUUCUGAGAUCAGAAUCUUCGUGUUUGGUGUCGGCGACAGGAUGAGCUCUGGGAAUCUGGGCAAAUAAAAUCAAACUCAUGGGAGAAAGCUUUGGUUCUGCUUUCGGACGGAAGUGUUGUGACAGUUCCCACAAAAUAUCUUCUACCAACUAUUCCUCAGAUACUUGACUAAGUUGAUGAUCUUGCACAACUAAGUUAUUUGAACGAGCCUUCAGUGCUUCACAAUCUUCGGUAUAGAUAUUUACAAGAUAAUAUAUAUAGAAUGGCUGGCCUCUGUCAAUCUAUUUAAAAAUGUCCAGCUAUAAGGGGAUGAUAGAGAAAGAAGGUUUUGGUCACUAAUUAUGUUUAUGCUGUUGCUGAUGCAGCAUACCAUACAAUGAGCUGAAGUGGAUCAAAUCGGAUAUGACAUUAUGCAAGAGAGAUGUGGGUGUGCCUGCGUUGUGAAGCACCACCACCUGACAUCACAUGAUAUCUCAUCUUCUUGUGAGAGCUUGCUAUGGGGAAUGCGGUUUGAUUUUUCGUCUCCGCAAAACGGUGUUGAAGAUGAGAGUUUUAACUUUCGACAACUUGACAUCACAUGAUAUCUCAUCAUCUUCUUGUGAGAUAUUGAUUUGUAGUCAGCCAACACUAGGGAAAAAAGUGAAAAAAGAAACAUGGAAGGGGAGAAAAAAAGAAAAAAAAAACUGAAAAAAAAAGGAAAAAAAGAGAAAGCAGAUCUGUUGAAAAAAAAGAAAAGAAAAAAGAAAAGAAAAAAAGAAAAGAAAAAAGAAAAGAAAAAAAUUGUGUCACAGAUCUAGAAAAAAAUAGAGAGCAGAAUCAAAGAAAGAGUUUCAAGAAAAUAGUUCAUAAAAGUUGAUCGUGCUAUUUGAUUUAAGGAGGAUUCAGUGCUUUUGCUGAGAGGGUUUGAUUCAGUGGCCAAGUCUCUUUCUCAUCUCUCAAACAAUCAUGAGACUGCUCUUGAGGAAGCACACCAACUCCAUCGUUAAGGGAUCAUAGUUUUCUUAGUUGUGCAAGAUCAUCAACUUAACCAAAGAUGGACACAAUUCUGUAGAGAAGCUUCAUAAGAGGCAAACAAAAAAGAGCUCAAAAGAAACAGAGAGUGUCAAGAAAGCAAAAAAUGUUGGCACCUUAUCAUCAAAUUACUAGAAAAACAACAUUGUUUGAAGCUGUCUGAUUGAUUAUAGGAUUAAUGUUGUGUUUCCAUAGCUGACAAUGACCAUGGCCAGACGUGCAGCGAGCAAGGCUAGAGAGCUGAAGUGGAUCAGAUGGGAUAUGGCAUUUAUGCAAGAGUGAUCUGGGCUGUUGGAGGAAGAGAACAAGUAGCUUCGUGAUGGGCUCUUUGGUAAAGCUUGGAGAUCUCGAAGAAGCCAAGGCUGUGCUAGAUGACUGGACUUCUACUUGCUACACAUACGACUUCAGAGUGCCGGACAUACUGCUAACGGGAUACUGUCAGAAGGGUCUCCUCGAUAAAUCCGAGGCUCUGCUUCGGGAUAUUACCAAAAGGGGAUAAAUACCGACUUCCCUUCCCAAAGGCCAUCGAUUUUCCUAGGUUUCUGGAGCACUCUUAUCAGCCGCAUGACAUGAUUGUUGAGAACAAGAAGCCAAAAAAGAGUUCUGAAGCAGUUGAUUAUGCUAAGAGAUUGGAGGAGAAUUCAAUGAUUUUGCUUAGGGGGUUAUCAUGAUGACCAUUUGGACUCUUUAUGGUUUAUGGACUUAGUGCUGGUUGCAUUACCUGAGAUUAGGUUAUGACAGUUCCCACAAUAAACCUUCUACCAUCUGUUCCUCAGAUGGUUGACUCAGAUUCAUUUAAAAUGUCCAGCUAUAUGGGGAUGACGCAGCAUUCCAUGCAGUGGUAGCAGAGCUGAAGUGGAUCAGAUCGGAUAUGACAUUAUGCAAGAGAGAUCUGUGUGUGCCUGAAUUGUGAAGUACCACCACCUGACAUCACAUGAUAUCUCAUCUUCUUAUGAGAGCUUGCUAUGGGGAAUGCGGUUUGAUUUUUCGUCUCUCCAGAAAGAUGUUGAAGAUGAGAGUUUCAACUUUCGACAACCUGACAUCACAUGAUAUCUCAUCUUCUUGUGGAUAUUGAUUGUAGUCAGCCAACAAUAGCGCAGAAAGUGAAAAAUGAAACAUGGAAGGGGUAGAAUGAGAGCAAAAUGAGGAAAAAAAGAAAAAAAGAAAAAGAAAAAGAAGAAAAAAAAGAGAACGCAGAUCUGUUGAAAAAAAAGAAAAGAAAAAAAGAAAAAAUUGUGUCACAGAUCUAGAAAAAAAAUAGAGAGCAGAAUCAAAGACAGAGUUCCAAGAAAACAGUUCAUAAGCAUUGAUCGUGCUAAUUGAUUUAAGGAGGAUUCAGUGUUUUUGCUGAGAGGGUUUGAUUCAGUGGCCAAGUCACUUUCUCAUCUCUCAAACAAACUUGAGACUGCUCUUGAGGUAGCACACCAAGUCCACCGUUAAGGAAUCAUAGUGUUCUUAGUUGUGCAAGAUCAUCAACUUAGCCAAAGAAGGAGAAAAUUCUGUAGAGAAGCUUCACAAGAGGCAAACAAAAAAGAGCUCAAAAGAAACAGAGAGUGUCAAGAAAGCAAAAAAUCUGACAAAGUACAUGGCUAGACGAGCAGCUAGCAAGGCUAGAGAGCUGAAGUGGAUCAGAUGGGAUAUGGCAUUUAAGCAAGAGCGGUCUGGGCUGUUGGAGGAAGAGAACAAGAAGCUUCGUGAUGGGCUCUUUGGUAAAGCUUGGAGAUCUCGAAGAAGCAAGGCUGUGCUAGAUGACUGGACUUCUACUUGCCACACAUACGACUUUGCCGAACAUACUGCUGACGGGAUACUGUCAAAAGGGUCACCCUGAUAAAUCCGAGGCUCAGCUUCGGGAUAUUACCAAGAGGGGAUAAAUUCCGACAUCCCUUUCCAAAAGCCAUCGAUCUUCCACGACAUCUUCUUCUGGAGCACUCUUAUCAGCUGCAUGCCAUGAUUGUUGAGAACAAGAAGCCAAAAAAGAGUUGUGAAGCAGUUGAUCAUGCUAAGAGAUUGGAGGAGGAUUCAAUGAUUUUGCUUAGAGGGUUAUCAUGAUGUCCAUUUGGACUCUUUAUGGUUUAUGGACUUGGUUCAGGUUGCAUUACCUGAGAUUAGGUUGAUAAACCUUCUACCAACUGUUCCUCAGAUAGUUGUCUCAGAUGAUGAUCUUGCACAACUAAGUUAUUUGAACGAGCCUUCAGUUCUUCACAAUCUUCUGUGUAGAUAUUUACAAGAAAAUACACACUCCAUAGAAUGGCAGGCCCUGUAUUACUUUCUGUCAAUUCAUUUAAAAAUGUCCAGCUAUAUGGGGAUGACGCAGCAUUCCAUGCAAUGGUAGCAGAGCUGAAGUGGAUCAGAUCGGAUAUGACAUUAUGCAACAGAGAUGUGGGUGUGCCUGCAUUUGGAAGUACCACCACCUGACAUCACAUGAUAUCUCAUCUUCUUAUGAGAGCUUGCUAUGGGGAAUGCGGUUUGAUUUUUCCUCUCCGCAAAAAGGUGUUGAAGAUGAGAGUUUCAACUUUCGACAACCUGACUUCAGAUGAUAUCUCAUCUUCUUGUGGAUAUUGAUUGUAGUCAGCCAACAAUAGGGUCUAAGAGUGAAAAAAGAAACAUGGAAGGGGUAGAAUAAGAGGAAAAUGAGGAGAAAAAAGGAAAAAAAAAUGAAAAAUAAGAAAAAAAGAGAAAGCAGAUCUGUUGAAAAAUAAAAAGAAAAGAAAAAAAGAAAAGAAAAAAAGAAAAAAUUGUGUCACAGAUCUAGAAAAAAUAUAGAGAGCAGAAUCAAAGAAAGAGUUCCAAGAAAAUAGUUCAUAAGCAGUUGAUCGUGCUAAGUGAUUUAAGGAGGAUUCAGUGCUUUUGCUGAGAGGGUUUGAUUCAGUGGCCAAGUCUCUUUCUCAUCUCUCAACAAUCAUGAGACUGCUUUUGAGGAAGCACACCAACUCCAUCGUUAAGGGAUCAUAGUUUUCUUAGUUGUGCAAGAUCAUCAAUUUAACCAAAGAUGGAGAAAAUUCUGUAGAGAAAGUUCACAAGAGGCAAACAAAAAAGAGCUCAAAAGAAACAGAGAGUGUCAAGAAAGCAAAAAAUCUGACAAUGACAUGGCAAGACGAGCAGCGAGCAAGGCUAGAGAUCUGAAGUGGAUCAGAUGGGAUAUGGCAUUUAUGCAACAGAGAUCUGGGCUGUUGGAGGAAGAGAACAUGAAGCUUCGUGAUGGGCACCUUGGUAAAGCUUGGAGAUCUCGAAGAAGCUAAGGCUGUGCUAGAUGACUGGACUUCUACUUGCCACACAUACGACUUCAGAGUGCCGAACAUACUGCUGAUGGGAUAUUGUUAUAAGGGACUCCCCAAUAAAUUCGAGGCUCAGCUUUGGGAUAUUACCGAAAGGGGAUAAAUACCGACUUUCCUUCCCAAAGGCCAUUGAUUUUCCACGGCUUCUGGAACACUCUUAUCAGCCGCAUGACAUGAUUCUUGAGAACAAGAAGCCAAAAGAGUGUUGUGAAGCAGUUGAUCAUGCUAAGAGAUUGGAGGAGGAUCCAAUGCUUUUGCUUAGAGGGUUAUCAUGCUGUCCAUUUGGAUCUUUAUGGUUUAUGGACUUGGUGCUGGUUGCAUUACCUGAGAUUAGUUCCUACAAUAAACCUUCUACCAAACUAUUCCUCGGAUAAUUGACUAAGAUGACGUUCUUGCACAACCAAGUUAUUUGAACGAGCCUUCAGUUCUUCACAAUCUUCAGGAUAGAUAUUUACAAGAUAAUACAUACUCCAUAGAAUGGCAGGCCUUUUAUUACUUUCUGUCAAUCCGGCAAUAUGUCAAUCCAUUUAAAAAUUUCCAGCUAUAUGGGGAUGAUGCAGCAUACCAUGCAUUGGUAGCAGAGCUGAAGUGGAUCAUAUCGGACAUGACAUUAUGCAAGAGAGAUGUGGGUGUGCCUGCAUUGUGGAGUACCACCACUUGACAUCACAUGAUAUGUCAUCUCCUUACGAGAGCUUGCUAUGGGGAAUGCAGUUUGAUUUUUCGUCUCCACAAAAAGGUGUGAUAUCACAUGAUAUCUCAUCUUCUUGUGUGAUAUUGAUUGUAGUCAGCCAGCACUUGGGCAGAAAGUGGGGAGAAAAAAGGAAAAAAAAAAGAAAAAGAAGAAAAAAAGAGAUAGCAGAUCUGUGGAAAAAAAAAAGAAAAAAUUGGUCUCACAGAUCUAGAAAAAAAAUAGAGUGAUCCACGAAAAUGUGAAGCAAAAAAUAGCCCGAAUAAGCUGUGGAAUACUAUGUUAUCCCCUUGUUUGAACCAUGUGGGGAUGAAGUGUUGUCUAAAUAACGAUGAUCAUGAUGAAGAAUCUUCCCAUGAGGCAAACAAAAAGAGCCUAAAAAAAACGGAGUAGUUCAAGAGAGCAAAAAUUCUGACAUUCACCAUGGCGAGACGAGCAGCGAGCAUGGCUUGAAAACUGAAGUGAAGAAGAUGGGAUAGAUAAUGCAUUUAUGCAAGAGAGAUCUGGGCUGUUGGAGGAAGAGAAUAAGAAGCUUCGUGAUGGGCUCUUUGGUAAAGCUUGGAGAUCUCGAAGAAGCCAAGGCUUUGCUAGAUGACUUUACUUCUACUUGCCACACAUACGACUUCAGAGUGCCGAACAUACUGCUGAUGGGAUACUGUCAUAAGGGUCUCCCCGAUAAAUCCGAGGCUCGGCUUCGGGAUAUUAACAACAGGGGAUAAAUACUGACUUCCCUUCCCAAAAGCCAUCGAUCUUCUACAGCAUCUUCUUCUUCUUCUGGAGCACUCUAAUCAGCUGCUUGCAAUGAUUGUUGUGAACAAGAAGCCAAAAAAGAGUUGUGAAGCAGUUGAUCAUGCGAAGAGAUUGGAGGAGGAUUCAAUGAUUUUGCAAAAGAAAAAAAGAGAGAUAGCAAGAUCUGUGGAAAAAAAAAAGAAAAGAAAAAAUUGGUCUCACAGAUCUAGAAUAAAAUAGAGUGAUCCACGAAAAUGUGAA